GACGUAGGGCGCGAGCGUUGUCCGGAUUUAUUGGGCGUAAAGAGCUCGUAGGCGGCUUGUUGCGUCAGCUGUGAAAACCCGCAGCUCAACUGUGGGCUUGCAGCUGAUACGGGCAGGCUUGAGUUCGGUAGGGGAGACUGGAAUUCCUGGUGUAGCGGUGAAAUGCGCAGAUAUCAGGAGGAACACCGGUGGCGAAGGCGGCAUCCUGGACCAAUAUUGACGCUGAGGAGCGAAAGCCAGGGGAGCAAACGGG
rnacentral:rRNA from 1 species